rnacentral:rRNA from 1 species
UACGGAGGGGACUAGCGUUGUUCGGAAUUACUGGGCGUAAAGCGCACGUAGGCGGAUUUGUAAGUCAGGGGUGAAAUCCCGGGGCUCAACCUCGGAACUGCCUUUGAUACUGCAAAUCUCGAGUCCGGAAGAGGUGAGUGGAAUUCCUGGUGUAGCAGUGAAAUGCGUAGAUAUCAGGAGGAACACCGAUGGCGAAGGCAGGUCUCUGGGCUGACACUGACGCUCAUGCACGAAAGCGUGGGGAGCAAACAGG